rnacentral:rRNA from 1 species
UUAAACCUCUUCCAGAGUAUCAAUUGGAGGGCAAGUCUGGUGCCAGCAGCCGCGGUAAUUCCAGCUCCAAUAGCGUAUAUUAAAAUUGUUGCAGUUAAAAAGCUCGUAGUUGAAUUUCUGCCGCCCCGCCUCUGCCCCUCGACGGGCGUUUGCGCCGCGGCUUUUUCGGAUUAUGCUUGCAUUUUCCGAGUGUUACUUUGAGAAAAUUAGAGUGCUCAAAGCAGGCUUUUGCCUUGAAUAGUUUAGCAUGGAAUAAUAGAGUAGGACUUUGGUUCUAUUUUGUUGGUUUUAGGUACCAAAGUAAUGGUUAAUAGGAACAGUUGGGGGCAUCCGUAUUUAACUGUCAGAGGUGAAAUUCUUAGAUUUGUUAAAGACGAACUACUGCGAAAGCAUUUGCCAAGGAUGUUUUCAUUAAUCAAGAACGAAAGUUAGGGGAUCGAAGACGAUCAGAUACCGUCGUAGUCCUAACCAUAAACCAUGCCGACUAGAGAUUGGAGGUCGUCAGUUUUUACGACUCCUUCAGCACCUUGAGAGGAAUCAAAGUCUUUGGGUUCUGGGGGGAGUAUGGUCGCAAGGCUGA